rnacentral:rRNA from 1 species
UAUCGUAGGAAUUUAAUUUUGGUUCCGAUUGAACGUUUUUCAGUAGUUUUAAGACAUGCAAAUCGUUGUACAUGGUUAAUAGAUAUUUAAAUGUAUAAGGUGUAGGGGUGAGUAUUGUAAAUGAGAUACCCUUGUAGACUUCUAAAUAGAAGAUAGUUCCUUUUCAAACAAUUAUAACAAAUAAACUGAUUACUUAUUAUAAAUAUUAAUAUAAUAAUCAUUGAGAAUUAGUUCUUUCUUUUUUAUUAAAUGUUUGAUAUUCUGAAAGAUAUAAAGAACUCUUAAGAAUAAUAUAAUAUAAAGGACCAAAAAAAGGUAAACUUAACAAAACAAAGGAAAUUUUCCGCAACAAGGAUUCAAUUUACAUUCGAUUAGGUAGUUGGAAGGGUAGAAGCCUCACAAGCCGACGAUCGAUAGUCAAGUUUGAUAGAACUAAUGACCACAUUGGGAAUGAAAUAUCCCAAGUAACGAUAGGUUACCAGCAGUCAAGAAUUUUAGUCAAUGCUCGCAAGAGUGAACUAGCUAACUGAAAUCCUCGGGGUGUCCCCAGGGAUAACGUAAGGGAAAAUAAUGAUAUUACCUUACUAUUAGUGUCGUCCAAGUACUCGUGCCAGAAGACUCGGUAACGCGAGAGACGCAAACGUUAAUCCUCCUGAUCAGGCGUAAAGGGUUUGUAGGCUGGUUUAAGUAUAUUUUUUUUUAGUUUACUGUUUUAAUGUUUAAUUAGUUUCCUAGAACUAUAAGACUAGGUAAAGGUUUCUUUUCAAUGUUAAAGAUUAAUUUUAUUAAAACCUUUAAUUUUACAUUAAAAUUCUAAAACAAAAAUAUCAAUUAAACCUAGAAUCUAAUAUAGGUUAAAACAAUACUUGUGGUAGGUGUGUGAACCGUAAAUAAUAAGCAGAGUGUUAAUGGCGAAGGCUUUUAUCCGCUAAAGAUUGACGCUGAGAAACGAAGGUGGGGAAAGAAAAAAGGAUUAGAGACCCUUGUAUCCCUCACUGUAAACGAUGAAUGGUAGUCACUAGAUAGCAAUAAUCUUGAGGCAAUGUUAACACGAAAACCAUUCCGCCUUGUUAGUACGACUGCAAAGUUGAAAACAAAAAAAUUAGUCGGUUUCGGAGCAAACGAAGUGAAGCAUGUUAUUUAAUACGAUAAUCCGCGUAAAACCUUACCAGUCCUUGUAUAUUAAAUAUUUUAUAUAUAGUAAAAAUCAUACUAAAUAUUCGGCCUUAGGCUAUAAAAUAUAUCUUGUUACUAAUAAAUAAAAUAAUUAUUUUAUAAUAUAUUAUAACAGAUACUUAAUACAGGUGUUGCAUGGCUGUCUUCAGUCCGUAUUGUGAAAAGUUAGGUUAAAUCCGUUAACGGACGCAAUCCCUGUUAUUAAUUUCUACUUAAUAAUAUGACGCUGAGAAGGUGUCAGUUGGGGCUAAGACAAGCCUUUAUGGCCCUCAUGGACUGGGCUAUAGACGUGCUAUAAAGAUUUUCACAAAGUGAUGCAAAAUGUAGUUACUGAUCCUCCAUUAUUUUUAUUAAUUUUUAAUUUUUAAUUUUAAUAUAAAUCUUGGAGGUAUUAAUUUUAUUUAAAAUAUUAAGCUUUUUUUAAUUUAAUAAAUUUCAUCUGGAUACGCGGCAUUAAGCAAGCUUACUAUCAUAAAUUUGUUAUUUAACUUUCUGUUAAGUGCGGAGCGAUUCUAUCUUCUAAUAAGAAAUAGUGUUCUUCGGACUGUAAUUUAACAUCUUUUUAGGAGGAUGAUUAAAAUAGGCAGAUUAGUUAUAAUUUAAACGUAUCUAAUAACUCAAUUUAAAUAUCCUCUGUCAGAUAGGAGGAGUUAUUGUUGUUAUUUUUAAUAUACACUUAAUAUUUUGUAAAGAGUAAAAAAGAAUUGAGCUAAUCAUUAAAAAAAAUCAUAAUAUUAAAUUAACGUUACGGAUUGUUGCCUGAAACUCGGUGACAUGAAGGAGGAAUUUCGAGUAAUCGUUGAUCAUUAGGCGCAACGGUGAAGCUUUAAUCCGAUAUGAACUAACCGUCUGUCGCUGGGAAGAAGCUUAAUAUGGUGGAAAAUAUGUUCAGAGUCUAAAUUUUAGUAUUUUAUAUUACUUUAUCUUUAUUUUUAAUCUUACAUCUUAAUUGAUUGAGGUUUAAAUAAGAAUCAAAUUAGAUUAGAUCACUUUGAUAAUACAAAGUACAGGUAGAGUAAUAGAAUAGAAAAAGCUUUAUAUUUUUAUAUAAAAUAGUUUCAAGUUUAAUUUUUAAUUUGAAGUAUUUAAGCUGUUUGAGUAACAUCUCAAAAGUCAUAGCAGGGUAGUUGUACCGGAAGGUGCAGCUGGAAAAUUGGUAAA